UGUAUUCUUUGUGAUGUCCUUCUUUGUAUUGUGCUAUCUGUUCUUCUACUUGACAAAGGCUUAUAAACCUUAAUUGAGCACACGAGCCUGCAAAUGUAUGUUGUACCAAUAAAACAAUAAAUCGCAAUGCAACAUUCCCAUGCUCUAGAUAUGGAACCGAUCUUCUCCCCAAAUGGCGUAUUUGAGUGUUCCGAUCCCGAAUUCAUUCAUAAGCACUGAUCUUUAGUGGCCACAAACCUGCGACUUCUUUACUGGAAACCACAGUUGUUAUUAGAUCCUCUAUGAAGUUGGUUUUACCUGAAUAAUAGGCUAGUAAGCGUAUAAUUGAACAGAACCAACGAGUUGUAAUCUCGAAAGUGAAGUUCUUUAGUGACUUCAGGGCGUGAACCUGCUACUUUCUUUGUCGUAGACCAAGACCAUUAACCUCUCGUCUCUUCCGGCAUGCGGUUAUUUUGAAAUGGUCAAAACUUGGCAACUAAGACCUGAACUUUCGAAAUAUUUUCAACUUUUCUUAUUUUUAAAACUUUUUUAUACGCUUUGAAAUGCGUUUAAUGUACUAAUCUUUAACUUUAGAAAAAAAGUUCGAAGUAUUUUAUCUUCACUUUUUAAUUUUUAGCUCCUUGUUUAGAAUGGAUUGUUUAUUAAGUGAAAACAUAUGGUUGAACUUAGACUCUAGAAUAAACAAAUACAUAUUUGCACCAUACUUUUAUUCAGUUUUCACGUUUGCUUUGCACCACAUCAUAACUCUUCAAGAAGCAACCCUUGCAACAGCCUCUUUCGUAGUCUACGACAUCCUGUAGAAUAGAGAUCCAUCCUGCACAUCACUUACAGUAAUGCUGGCAUCCUUCUGUAUGUUUCUCCAGUACAAUUCUAAAGGUCAGGAUGACAUCUUGAGACAUUUUCUUGUUCUAUUCUUCAUGAUGUACGUAAAGGGAUUCAUGGAAUGCGUCCUCUGUAUUAGCAUUAUUGCAUCGUACAUUGCAGCGACGCGAGAUUUCAUGCAUCUUUGUUGGCAUUGUGUUCAUGAACUAUUCGAGUUUGCUGUUCGGCGCCUUUUAUUGUGUCACCUAAAAGUGUAUAAUGACUUGAGAUUUGUUUUAAAUUUUUAGACUAUUCUUUUUAAAAAGAUAUAUUUAUUCGUACCGUGCAUUUAAAUUGCUUGAAACAAAUAGUUAAUUUUGUACUAUUAAAGAGAUUUAUAUGUUUGC